rnacentral:rRNA from 1 species
CGCGUAGGCGGCCUGGUAAGUCUGGAGUGAAAGUCCUGCUUUUAAGGUGGGAAUUGCUUUGGAUACUGCUGGGCUUGAGUGCAGGAGAGGUAAGUGGAAUUCCCGGUGUAGCGGUGAAAUGCGUAGAGAUCGGGAGGAACACCAGUGGCGAAGGCGACUUACUGGACUGUAACUGACGCUGAGGCGCGAAAGUGGUGGGGAAGCAAACA